rnacentral:rRNA from 1 species
GUCCACGCAGUAAACGAUGAAUACUAGCUGUAUGCGAUAUACUGUAUGUGGCAAAGCGAAAGCGUUAAGUAUUCCACCUGGGGAGUACGUUCGCAAGAAUGAAACUCAAAGGAAUUGACGGGGGCCCGCACAAGCGGAGGAACAUGUGGUUUAAUUCGAUGAUACGCGAGGAACCUUACCCGGGCUUGAAAUGCAUCUGACCGAUCUGGAAACAGAUUUUCUAGCAAUAGCAGAUGUGUAGGUGCUGCAUGGUUGUCGU